UACGGAGCAAAGCGGGCCUCUUCUUGAAAGCUCGCGCUUUGAGAUAAGCCUACGUCGGAUUAGCUAGUUGGUAGGGUAAUGGCCUACCAAGGCGACGAUCCGUAGCUGGUUUGAGAGGAUGAUCAGCCACACUGGGACUGAGACACGGCCCAGACUCCUACGGGAGGCAGCAGUGGGGAAUAUUGGACAAUGGGCGAAAGCCUGAUCCAGCAAUGCCGCGGUGUGUGAAGAAGGCCUGCGGGUUGUAAAGCACUUUUAUCGGGAAAGAAAAACCUGGGGUUAAUACCCCCGGGCCUUGACGGUACCCGAGGAAUAAGCACCGGCUAACUCAGUG
rnacentral:rRNA from 1 species